UACGUAGGGUGCAAGCGUUGUCCGGAAUUAUUGGGCGUAAAGGGCUCGUAGGCGGUCCGUCACGUCGGCUGUGAAAACCCGGGGCUCAACCCCGGGCCUGCAGUCGAUACGGGCGGACUAGAGUUCGGCAGGGGAGACUGGAAUUCCUGGUGUAGCGGUGAAAUGCGCAGAUAUCAGGAGGAACACCAAUGGCGAAGGCAGCUCGCUGGGACGUGACUGACGCUGAGACGCGAAAGCGUGGGGAGCAAACAGG
rnacentral:rRNA from 1 species